CACACAUCCACACCUUAGAAAGUCUCUGCUCAGCUCCCAAGUUAAUUGAUAUUACCUGGAAGAGAAAGAUCUAUGAGACAUAGAGCAAGCAUGUGGAGGACAUCUGAUGGUGGUGAAUAUGAAGCUGUGUUGUCCAAUAAAGGCAUAUAAUUCAAUGGGCAAAACAAAACGAUGAACCUUUGUAACAGACCAUCCCC